rnacentral:lncRNA from 1 species
GUGAGCAGGUCAGCCCCGCGCUGGUCAGCUCUUCACUGACUCCCUCCACUGCAGAUCUGGAAGUGUGGGUGCUGUACUCAGACAGGAAUGUCAUCAAGCCGAAGAGCACCUUCUACUGGAGUUCAGAUGAGGUCAGGAAGUGGCUAAGAAGAGAUCCAUGAAGAUUAACAUUCAGUGCUCAAUUUCUGAAGGAAACAGGGAGUGAAAGGCCGUGGAAGAAAACAGGGCUGCCACGAACAUGCUCUUGGCUGUUUGAAAAGAUCCAGCGCAGCUUGAACUUCAAAAAUAACUCCAUUCACUAUGGUUGCAGUUGGGCUUGGGGAAUUUCUCACAAUCAAAAGCAGCUGCUUCAUCUCAUUUAGCCAUUAGGCUGAGCUCCACAGGCUCGCUGCAGGAUCUUAGAGCCUACAAGGCCCUGCUAAGAGUAGCCGCGUUUUCCAGCAUGCAGUAGAUCAGCGAGUGUUUACAUUUGUGUUUGGAAUGCUCAUGAGUCCUUUGGGGCAAAGACUGAGUCAUUAAUCAGAGCUUUCUAUGAACGUAUUGCUGCCCAAGCCUCUGUGAAUGUGAGUACGGCCUUGUCCCCUGAGUGACGCUGAAAGAGAGUGAAGCACAUGUGCUCCAUAGGACUGCCACGGCCACCCCUCUCAUUCACUUUUCCAUUCAGCGCUGAGACUAAGUUUAACUCAUUUUUCUUUUGUUGUGAAAAGAGAAUGCACACAAAAAUUCAAAUGUUACCAAAUCGAUAUCAGGUUGGAAGCUGAUUCCCCUUGCCUGAGUCCGGGCUGUGUUUGGCGAUACUUGUAAAGAAUGGAAUCUGGCUGAGGUGGAGGUGUGUGACUUUGAGGACUAGGUCCAAAGAAGGCAUUGUGGUUUCCAUCUUGACUGCUCUUUCCCUUGGAUAGCUGACUCUUAGGGAAGCCACAUGCCACACCAUGAGCAGCUCUGCGGAGAGACCCAUGCAGCAAGGAAAUGAGGCUUCCAGUCAAGAGCUGCAUGACUGAAUGAACUUGUUACCAAAACACCAGGGGUUUGGUCCAGGUCCUUCUGCUCACCGCAUGGAAAGCUCAUCACUGAGAUGACAAGUAUUGCCAAGGAAGGAUUUAAUCAGGUGCUGCAACCGAGGAGAUGGGAGCUCAGUCUCAAAUCCAUCUUGCUGACCUACUAAAACGAGGGAUUUGUAUAGCAGGGAAGAAAUGAAACAAUGUGUAAGAAAACAGCAACUAGGGAGGGGCACGGAAGCAAUCAUGAUGAAUGAGGGGGCAGCAUCUCAUUGUCUGAAUGCGGUGAUCUGGUGAGUUUCAGUUCUUUGGUACUUUUCUUGAGAGGCCUGAAGUUAGUUUCCUGAGGAAGGAACUCAAGUAAAACAAAUGUAAAUUUCAAGCCAGAAGGGUGAAUUUCUAUGUUUAUCCGAAAAACUGUCUAUGGGACUAUUGGGUCAGUUUCAAACUUGGAAGCAAUUCUCCAGCCCCAGUUGAGGCUUUAGAGAAGUCAGUGCCAGCCCACAGCCUGACUGCAACCCCUGGAGAGAAUCUGAGCUGGAACCACCCAGCUAAGCCUGGUCUGAGUUUCUGCCCCACUGAAACCAAAUAAUACAUUUGGUUGCUUUCAGCUCCUAAGUGACAGGGACACUUAACCGUCAUGAGGCAAUGUAUAACUGAUACCCUACUCUACAUGAAAAAAUCCCAUAAAUACAGAGUCACGUGCUGCAUAAUGACUUUUCAGUCAAUGAUGGACUGCAUCAAUAAUGGUGGUCCCAUAAUAUAAUGGAGCUGAAAAACUCCUAUUGAGAGGUGACAGUGUGCUGGUAGUCCUCAGAGCCCUCGCUUACUCUUGGCACCUCCUCUGCCUGGGCUCCCACUUUGGCAGCAUUUGAGGAGCCCUUCAGCCCACCACUGCACUGUGGGAGCCCCUUUCUGGGCUGGCCAAGGCUGGAGCCCACUCCCUCAGCUUGCAGGGAGGUGUGGAGGGAGAGGCGCGAGCGGGAACCGGGGCUGCGUGCAGCGCUUGCUGGCCAGCUGGAGUUCCGGGUGGGCGUGGGCUUGGCGGGCCCCGCACCCGGAGCAGCCGGCCGGCCCUGCUGGCCCCGGGCAAUGAGGGACUUAGCACCCGGGCCAGCGGCUGCGGAGGGUGUACUGGGUCCCCCAGCAGUGCCAGCCCACCAGAGCUGCACUCGAUUUCUCGCCAGGCCUUAGCUGCCUUCCCGCGGGGCAGGCCUCGGGACUGCAGCCCACCAUGCCUGAGCCUUCCCCCUCCUCCGUGGAUUCCUGUGCAGCCGGAGCCUCCCCGACGAGCGCCACCCCCUGCUCCAUGGCGCCCAGUCCCAUCGACCGCCUAAGGGCUGAAGAGUGCGGGCGCAAGGCACCGGGACUGGCAGGCAGCUCCACCUGCAGCCCCGGUGCGGGAUCCACUGGGUGAAGCCAGCUGGACUCCUGAGUCUGGUGGGGCCUUGGAGAACUUUUAUGUCUAGCUCAGGGAUUGUAAAUACACCGAUCGGUACUCUGUAUCUAGCUCAAGGUUUGUAAACACACCAAUCAGCACCCUGUGUCUAGCUCAAGGUUUGUGAGUGCACCAAUCGACACUCUGUAUCUAGCUGCUCUGGUGGGGCCUUAGAGAACCUUUGCGUGGAUACUCUGUAUCUAACUAAUCUGAUAGGGACGUGGAGAACCUUUAUAUCUAGCUCAGGGAUUGUAAACGCACCAAUCAGCACCCUGUCAAAACAGACCACUUGGCUCUACCAAUCAGCAGGAUGUGGGUGGGGCCAGAUAAGAGAAUAAAAGCAGGCUGCCGGAGCCAGCAGUGGCAACCCACUGGGGUCUCCUUCCACACUGUGGAAAGUUUGUUCUUUCGCUCUUUGCAAUAAAUCUUGCUGCUGCUCACUUUUUGGGUCCACACUGCUCUUAUGAGCUGUAACACUCACCGCGAAAAUCUGUAGCUUCAUUCCUGAAGCCAGCGAGCCCACGAGCCCACCGGGAAGAACGAACAACUCCAGACGUGCCGCCUUAAGAGCUGUAACACUCACCGCGAAGGUCUGCAGCUUCACUCCUGAGCCAGCGAGACCACUAACCCACCAGAAGGAAGAAACUCCGAACAUCAGAAGGAACAAACUCCAGACGCGCCACCUUAAGAGCUGUAACACUCACUGCGAGGGUCCGCGACUUCAUUCUUGAAGUCAGUGAAACCAAGAAUCCACCAAUUCCGGACACACUAUCACCCAUGAAGAGUAGUUACUGUAACAUUGUAGCACACUGCAUUACUCAGGUGUUUGUGGGGUUGCUGAUGUGAACAAACCUGCAUGGCCAGUUGCAUAAAAGUAUAGCACACACGAUUAUGUACAGCCCAUAAUACGUGAUAGUGAUAAUAAAUGACUGUUACUGGUUUAUGUAUUAUAUGUUUUUUGUUUGUUUGUUUGUUUUUUGACACAAGGUUUGGCUCUGUCACCCUGGCUGGAGUGCAGUGGUGUAAUCUCAGCUCACUGCAACCUCUGCCUCCCAGGCUUAAGCCAUCCUCCCACCUCAGCCUCCUGAGUAGCUGGAAUUACAGGCGGGUGCCAUGGCUAACUUUCGUAUUUUUUGUGGCGACGGGGUUUUGCCAUGUUGCACAGGCUGGUCUUGAACU